GACGAACGCUGGCGGCGUGCUUAACACAUGCAAGUCGAACGGAAAGGCCCUGCUUUUGUGGGGUGCUCGAGUGGCGAACGGGUGAGUAACACGUGAGUAACCUGCCCUUGACUUUGGGAUAACUUCAGGAAACUGGGGCUAAUACCGGAUAGGAGCUCCUGCUGCAUGGUGGGGGUUGGAAAGUUUCGGCGGUUGGGGAUGGACUCGCGGCUUAUCAGCUUGUUGGUGGGGUAGUGGCUUACCAAGGCUUUGACGGGUAGCCGGCCUGAGAGGGUGACCGGCCACAUUGGGACUGAGAUACGGCCCAGACUCCUACGGGAGGCAGCAGUGGGGAAUAUUGCACAAUGGGCGGAAGCCUGAUGCAGCAACGCCGCGUGCGGGAUGACGGCCUUCGGGUUGUAAACCGCUUUCGCCUGUGACGAAGCGUGAGUGACGGUAAUGGGUAAAGAAGCACCGGCUAACUACGUGCCGGCAGCCGCGGUGAUACGUAGGGUGCGAGCGUUGUCCGGAUUUAUUGGGCGUAAAGGGCUCGUAGGUGGUUGAUCGCGUCGGAAGUGUAAUCUUGGGGCUUAACCCUGAGCGUGCUUUCGAUACGGGUUGACUUGAGGAAGGUAGGGGAGAAUGGAAUUCCUGGUGGAGCGGUGGAAUGCGCAGAUAUCAGGAGGAACACCAGUGGCGAAGGCGGUUCUCUGGGCCUUUCCUGACGCUGAGGAGCGAAAGCGUGGGGAGCGAACAGGCUUAGAUACCCUGGUAGUCCACGCUGUAAACGGUGGGUACUAGGUGUGGGGUCCAUUCCACGGGUUCCGUGCCGUAGCUAACGCUUUAAGUACCCCGCCUGGGGAGUACGGCCGCAAGGCUAAAACUCAAAGGAAUUGACGGGGCCCCGCACAAGCGGCGGAGCAUGCGGAUUAAUUCGAUGCAACGCGUAGAACCUUACCUGGGUUUGACAUGGAUCGGGAGUGCUCAGAGAUGGGUGUGCCUCUUUUGGGGUCGGUUCACAGGUGGUGCAUGGCUGUCGUCAGCCCGUGUCGUGAGAUGUUGGGUUAAGUCCCGCAACGAGCGCAACCCUUGUUCACUGUUGCCAGCACGUUAUGGUGGGGACUCAGUGGAGACCGCCGGGGUCAACUCGGAGGAAGGUGGGGAUGACGUCAAGUCAUCAUGCCCCUUAUGUCCAGGGCUUCACGCAUGCUACAAUGGCUGGUACAGAGAGUGGCGAGCCUGUGAGGGUGAGCGAAUCUCGGAAAGCCGGUCUCAGUUCGGAUUGGGGUCUGCAACUCGACCUCAUGAAGUCGGAGUCGCUAGUAAUCGCAGAUCAGCAACGCUGCGGUGAAUACGUUCCCGGGGCU
rnacentral:rRNA from 1 species